rnacentral:rRNA from 1 species
AGAGUUUGAUCAUGGCUCAGAAUCAACGCUGGCGGCGUGCCUAACACAUGCAAGUCGAACGCGAAAGUGGAGCAAUCCAUGAGUAGAGUGGCAAACGGGUGAGUAACGCGUGGGUGACCUGCCUUCGAGUGGGGGAUAACGCUCCGAAAGGGACGCUAAUACCGCAUAACACUUACGAGUCAAAGCAGCAAUGCGCUUGGAGAGGAGGUCGCGGCCGAUUAGCUAGUUGGCGGGGUAAUGGCCCACCAAGGCGAUGAUCGGUAUCCGGCCUGAGAGGGCGCACGGACACACUGGAACUGAAACACGGUCCAGACUCCUACGGGAGGCAGCAGUGGGGAAUUUUGCGCAAUGGGGGAAACCCUGACGCAGCAACGCCGCGUGGAGGAUGAAAUAUCUUGGUAUGUAAACUCCUUUCGAUGGGGAAGAUUAUGACGGUACCCAUAGAAGAAGCCCCGGCUAACUUCGUGCCAGCAGCCGCGGUAAUACGAGGGGGGCAAGCGUUGUUCGGAUUUAUUGGGCGUAAAGGGUGCGUAGGCGGUUUGGCAAGUCUUGUGUGAAAUCUAUGGGCUCAACCCAUAGUCUGCAUAAGAAACUGCCGGGCUUGAGUAUGGGAGAGGUGAGUGGAAUUUCCGGUGUAGCGGUGAAAUGCGUAGAUAUCGGAAGGAACACCUGUGGCGAAAGCGGCUCACUGGACCAUAACUGACGCUGAGGCACGAAAGCUAGGGGAGCAAACAGGAUUAGAUACCCUAGUAGUCC